AGCUUUGUGCAGUGGUAGUAUCGUAACCACUGAGGUUCAUCCAAGGUGCGAUUAUUGCUGUUUGAAAACUUUGUCCAGUACCACACCUAAUGGACGUGAAAUAUCAACGGCUAAGGCAAUUUUUGUUAGCCCCUUCAAGGG